UACGUAGGGUCCGAGCGUUGUCCGGAGUUACUGGGCGUAAAGCGCGCGCAGGUGGUCCAUUAAGCCCGGCGUGAAAGCCCCCGGCUCAACCGGGGAGGGUCGUCGGGGACUGAUGGACUUGAGGGCGGCAGGGGCUGGUGGAAUCCCCGGUGUAGUGGUGAAAUGCGUAGAGAUCGGGGGGAACACCCGUGGCGAAGGCGGCCAGCUGGGCCGACCCUGACACUGAGGCGCGAAGGCGUGGGGAGCGAACGGG
rnacentral:rRNA from 1 species